CAUGAAGUCGGAAUUGCUGUAAUCGCGGAUCAGCAUGCCGCGGUGAAUACGUUCCCGGGCCUUGUACACACCGCCCGUCACACCAUGGGAGCCGGUAAUACCCGAAGUCAGUAGUCCAACCUCGUGAGGACGCUGCCGAAGGUAGGAUUGGCGACUGGGGUGAAGUCGUAACAAGGUACC
rnacentral:rRNA from 1 species